GGCUUGGUAGCUCAGCAGCUAGGGUGCCAGCCACAUACAUUGGAGCUGGCAGGUUCAAAUCCAGCCCGGGCCU
rnacentral:tRNA from 1 species